UAAGGAACUACAGGUGUGAUGUG
rnacentral:miRNA from 1 species